GGUGCCAGCAGCCGCGGUAAUUCCAGCUCCAAUAGCGUAUAUUAAAGUUGUUGCAGUUAAAAAGCUCGUAGUUGAAUUUCGGGGUCUGUCCAUCGGUCGGGCUUCACGGUCCGUACUGGUGAGAUGGGUUCCUACCUUCUGAAUAACCGGCAUGCCAUUCAGUUGGUGCGUCGGGGAAGCAGAGCUAUUACCUUGAAAAAAUUAGAGUGUUUAAAGCAGGC
rnacentral:rRNA from 1 species